CCAUGAAACGCUCUAGUUUUCCAGAGACCAGUUGGUUGUAGUGCAGCAGGACUAUGCUGAGACUGUGGGUGCUUCGAGGAACACAGGACAGUGCUGGACUCAUUACUGCACCCUGGUGGUUCAAACAGAAAAUACAACAACAAAUAUCUCUGCAGAAGUGAAGCAGCACAUCCUGGCUGGCUUAGAGCCCUCGCAAGCUCCACAUCUUCAACAAGAAGCCUCAAUGAUGCAACUAUGUCUCCUCUCUUCUCCUGGUGCUGUGGUAACACAAGCACAAACAUCAAGAUAUACAGAAAAAAGAAAAGCAAUCACAGGAUGCUACAUGAAGCUCAACACAGGGGAGCCGGACCAGUGCAGAGAGCAUGGAAGAGCCGUUGCAGUUACUCUGCAAGGGAGGAGACACAUGAAAAGCAUGUGGAUUACAGAGAAGCAGACUCAUGGGUGA